GUAUUGUAACCUAUAAAAUGCCACCAGAAACACUCACCACAUUUUAUUUCCCUUUAUCUUCACAAGAAUUCCCUGAGAUUUGUUCUGGGCAGUGGUGGUCAUCAGACUGUGAACUUCAGAGGUUCGGGGUCACAUCUGUGGAAUUCUCCCUUCAGUGGUUUGGCACAACAUGCAAUUAGCUCUUUGAUCUGCUCUGGGUAGUGCUACUGGAGGCGUGAGGAAAUGUUGAGCAGGCAACUAGAAGGAAUUGAAGGAAGACUCCAACACACAGGAAAGGCAUGGAGAAGUGAAGCAAAGUCAAGAGUAACACACACAGGG
ensembl:lncRNA